CCUACGGGGGGCAGCAGUGAGGGAUAUUGGUCAAUGGGGGAAACCCUGAACCAGCAACGCCGCGUGAGGGAAGACGGCUUUCGGAUUGUAAACCUCUGUUCUCUGGGAAGAUAAUGACGGUAGCAGAGGAGGAAGCUCCGGCUAACUACGUGCCAGCAGCCGCGGUAAUACGUAGGGAGCAAGCGUUAUCCGGAUUUACUGGGUGUAAAGGGUGCGUAGGCGGCCCUGCAAGUGAGAAGUGAAAUGCAUGGGCUUAACCCGUGAACUGCUUGUGAAACUGUCGGGCUUGAGUGACGUAGAGGCAUGCGGAAUUCCCGGUGUAGCGGUGAAAUGCGUAGAGAUCGGGAGGAACACCAGUGGCGAAGGCAGCCUACUGCGCUUUAACUGACGCUGAAGCACGAAAGCGUGGGUAGCAAACAGGAUUAGAUACCCUAGUAGUC
rnacentral:rRNA from 1 species